rnacentral:rRNA from 1 species
CUUGCUUCUCUUGAGAGCGGCGGACGGGUGAGUAAUGCCUAGGAAUCUGCCUGGUAGUGGGGGAUAACGUCCGGAAACGGACGCUAAUACCGCAUACGUCCUACGGGAGAAAGCAGGGGACCUUCGGGCCUUGCGCUAUCAGAUGAGCCUAGGUCGGAUUAGCUAGUUGGUGGGUAAUGGCUCACCAAGGCGACGAUCCGUAACUGGUCUGAGAGGAUGAUCAGUCACACUGGAACUGAGACACGGUCCAGACUCCUACGGGAGGCAGCAGUGGGGAAUAUUGGACAAUGGGCGAAAGCCUGAUCCAGUCAUGCCGCGUGUGUGAAGAAGGUCUUCGGAUUGUAAAGCACUUUAAGUUGGGAGGAAGGGCAGUAAAUUAAUACUUUGCUGUUUUGACGUUACCGACAGAAUAAGCACCGGCUAACUCUGUGCCAGCAGCCGCGGUAAUACAGAGGGUGCAAGCGUUAAUCGGAAUUACUGGGCGUAAAGCGCGCGUAGGUGGUUCGUUAAGUUGGAUGUGAAAUCCCCGGGCUCAACCUGGGAACUGCAUUCAAAACUGACGAGCUAGAGUAUGGUAGAGGGUGGUGGAAUUUCCUGUGUAGCGGUGAAAUGCGUA